rnacentral:misc_RNA from 1 species
UCAGGCCGAGGCAGAGUAACCUAUCUGUGUUCAUCAACAGUCACUCAGGCCGAGGCAGAGUAACCUGUCUGUGUUCACCAACAGUCACUCAGGCCGAGGCAGAGUAACCUGUCUGUGUUCAUCACCAGUCACUCAGGCCGAGGCAGAGUAACCUGUCUGUGUUCAUCACCAGUCACUCAGGCCGAGAUUAAACGAUUACUUGAGGAUUGUCAAGACAUUCAAGAAACAGAUGGAAAUCAGGGACAGCUUAAUAAGAGGUUCUGUAAUGGAACAGUAUAUACGCCAAAUAGGCUAUAUCAAAUUGAAUGGAUUUCCAGGAGGAUUGUGCAGUGACCUUGCAGAAAUUACCGGAGCCUCAGAGAGCUUGACUGUAUGGAACACCAGACAGGACAAUGGAGUGAUGGGGGAGACUGUGUGUGAAAGUGGUCCCGGAGAUGAGCUUUUGAUCAAGGUGCCUUUUGCUGGAGCGACCCUCACCAUCCGUCUCCUCUUCUAUCUGCGGGAGCCGUGGAUGCCUCCUGACAUGUCCUUCAGCGAUAUUCAAUUUUUAUCAAGGAUCUCAACUGAGGAUCUUGAGGAUCAGGUACCAGCACUGAAUAACUGGAACUGCUCUGAAGAUGAUAUUAUUGCUCAACUUCUUCAUCAGUUGUUGCAACUAUACAAAAAAUACCAGUUGGAGAAACUUGAUGAUGAUGAAGUUCUGCAGUUUGAGUACCGGUCCCUUCUGAAGACUCUUAAGAUUGGGGAAGGUGAUAUAGAGAUAUUAGUGAAUAGUCCAGGGCAUAACACAUCUUCACUGCUGGUGCGGUUACCACUGAGUCUUCAAGAUGUUCCCCCUGUGUUGAUUGAUGCUAACCCUGGCUCAGCAACCAGUCUUCUUCAAGUAACUUUUCAAGGUAAUGAGGGAGUGUUCGUCCCCAAGUUGUACUUGUCUCCAAGAGUUGAGUCACUCAUCGGAGGUGCCAACACUUUAGCACUUCCGGCAGUGCCUCCUGGUACUUGCUUGCUGGAUUAUGUUGAGAGAGUUUUGGAGCUGCUGGAGGAGAAAGUACGAAAAGCUGUACUCUGUUUUGAAACUAGAAAACAGUUCAUUGCCCAGGUGUUAUGUCAGUUUGGUUGUGCUGUGAUGGAGUAUGAUGCUGAGCGCUUUAGCAAGGUUGUGCUCAUGUUCGAAGUGAAGGACUUUCACUUUCUCACCUUCAUUACUCUUGGUCAACUCUUUCCUCAGCAGCAGGCACCGAAGAUCGUCCUCCAGUCACUGUAUCACAACAGUCCCCGAGAACCAUAUUCCAAGGAGUACUCGGACCAGAAAUACAGUCCACAAUGGACCCCGGAGGAGAUGGUGCGGAACGUCAGGGACGUCAUCCUCUCAAACGUUUCCUCAUUUCAGAUGUCAUCCAUAAGGACAAAUUAAGAUUAUUUUAGAAAAAAUAAACUAGAUUUAUUUUAUGCCAUUUCUCAAAAAAGGGUUAGCUUGGCCCAAGACAUUGAUGUGGUUGAUAGCCAGCUCAGUGCAUGUCACAGGGAAAUAACACCCCACCAACCUUGUGUAGCCAUAUGAAUGAAACCUCAUGAACUCUUAUCCAGAAUGGUGUCAACUGAGUCAUGGAACUCAUAGAGAAUAUAUGAGGAGCACAGAACCAAAGUAGGACAAGUGGUGGUAUGCCCAAGAACAAUAUGUAUGAUGUCCUUCUUUAGUACAUGUAUCAACCAAAUCUGUAUUAACAAUACAACAAAUCUGCCACUUGAAUUACUUCAAUAUCUUCACUGGUUCCAUAGUUAUGGUCCCUAAUGCAGCCUAGGCCGUGUCUGUAGCGUGGAUGACGCAUCCACUAGUCUUGGGAGAUGUCUGAGAUCCAGUGGAGUCGGGUGUCCCCUUGAACCCCGACCGUCAGAAGCUCCGCUACCACUCAUGGGCCCCAUAGGGGGUAGUACCUCUAACGCCCUGUCCCUGCGGUGAACCCGGAUCGUCAAGCCCCCAAACAACUGCCAGCCCCAUCAUUGGUGGAUGAGUACAGUACAUAACUCGGUGGGGCUGUUGGUGUGGUGGUGUUAGUUCACCGGAAUUAUCGGAGUUUGUUGGAAGGUGUCACUUGGUGAUGAGACU